rnacentral:lncRNA from 1 species
GGGGGUGCCUCCCAGUUAGGCUGCUUGGGGGUCAGGGACCCACUUGAGGAGGCAGUCUGCCCAUUCUCAAAUCUCCAGCUGCGUGCUGGGAGAACCACUGCUCUCUUCAAAGCUGUCAGGCAGGGACAUUUAAGUCUGCAGAGGUUACUGCUGUCUUUUUGUUUGUCUGUGCCCUGCCCCCAGAGUGGAGCCUACAGAGGCAGGCAGGCCUCCUUGAGCUGUGGUGAACUCCACCCAGUUGGAGCUUCUUGGCUGCUUGGUUUACCUAAUCAAGCCUGGGCAAUGGCGGGCGCCCCUCCCCCAGCCUCGCUGCCGCCUUGCAGUUUGAUCUCAGACUGCUGUGCUAGCAAUCAGCGAGACUCUGUGGGGGUAGGACCCUCUGAGCCACGUGCCGGAUAUAAUCUCGUGGUGCGCCGUUUUUUUAAGCCGUUCGGAAAAGCACAGUAUUCGGGUGGGAGUGACCCGAUUUUCCAGGUGCGUCUGUCACCCCUUUCUUUCACUCAGAAAGGGAACUCCCUGACCCCUUGCGCUUCCCAAGUGAGGCAAUGCCUCGCCCUGCUUCGGCUCGCGCACGGUGCGCGCACCCACUGACCUUCGCCCACUGUCUGCCACUCCCAAGUGAGAUGAACCCGGUACCUCAGAUGGAAAUGCAGAAAUCACCUGUCUUCUGCGUCGCUCACGCUGGGAGCUGUAGACUGGAGCUGUUCCUAUUCGGCCAUCUUGGCUCCUCUCAGGUCUGGUUGUUGUUUAGUGGCAUCUAGUUUUGCUUUUAAUUUGAAUUUUCUUGAACUUUAACAAUGGUAUGAUAAAAUUCAGGCCAAGAGAAGCAAAGACAGCAAAGACUGACAUAAAAAAGAAACAACAAAAACAACUCUUGUUAAUGAUGUAGAAUUAAUCUGAAUUCUCCAAAAACCUGCCUCUUUUGGAGGUAAGUGGGGUUCUAGGUUUGAAUCUGUUUUCUGCCACUUUCCUGUGUAACCUUCAGUAAGACAAUGCUCAAGCCUGUUCCCUUUUCUAGAAAAUGAAAUUAGGAAGGAAUACCCCCAUAAAGAGUUGAAAGAAGAAAAUGCCUUUGUCUUUUUCUUAUGAUUAAUUAUUCUUUGUCUUAUGUUUAUGAGCCUUUUAUCAGCUAUACAUGUUGCUAAUAUUUUUCACCCUUUUCACUCGUUUAGCAAUCAUAAAAAUAGGCCGG